GACGUAGGGCGCGAGCGUUGUCCGGAUUUAUUGGGCGUAAAGAGCUCGUAGGCGGCUUGUUGCGUCGACCGUGAAAACCCGCGGCUUAACUGCGGGCUUGCGGUUGAUACGGGCGGGCUGGAGUUCGGUAGGGGAGACUGGAAUUCCUGGUGUAGCGGUGAAAUGCGUAGAUAUCGGAAGGAACACCAGUGGCGAAAGCGGCUUCCUGGUCCAGCACCGACGUUCAGGCACGAAAGCGUGGGGAGCAAACAGG
rnacentral:rRNA from 1 species